rnacentral:misc_RNA from 1 species
GUACCCUCAAGCUCUGCUUGGUGUUGGGCGUUUGUCAAACGACUCGCCUUAAAACAAUUGGCAGCCGGCAUACUAGCCUGAAGCGCAGCACAUUUUGCGCCUCUUGUUAUUGCGUUGGCAUCCAUCAAGAUCUUUUGC